CACUGCCUGCCCAGUGACACACGUUUAACGGCCGCGGUACUCUGACCGUGCAAAGGUAGCAUAAUCACUUGUUCUUUAAAUAGGGACUCGUAUGAAUGGCAUCACGAGGGUUUAACUGUCUCUUACUUUUAACCAGUGAAAUUGACCUGUCCGUGAAGAGACGGACAUGAAACAAUAAGACGAGAAGACCCUGUGGAGCUUUAAUUUACCAGUACAACUAAAGACUACAUAGACCUACUGGCUCCUAAACUCCCAUACCUGUGCUGAAAAUUUUGGUUGGGGCGACCUCGGAGCACAACCAAACCUCCGAAGAAUCCAUGCUAAGACUACACAAGCCUAAGCAAACUAAUCCCUACAAUUGACCCAAUAAUUUGAUCAACGGAACAAGUUACCCCAGGGAUAACAGCGCAAUUCUAUUCUAGAGUCCAUAUCGACAAUAGAGUUUACGACCUCGAUGUUGGAUCAGGACAUCCUAAUGGUGCAGCAGCUGUCAAG
rnacentral:rRNA from 3 species